GCGGAUUAGGGUAGAGGUUUAGGGGUGGGAGCGCAGAGGUAGUAAUAGGGGAGUGCUCCUUUGGGUCUGGAGUUUCUGGUUCGUAGUGUUGUGGCUGUAGUUUGGGGCUAGUGGUGUUGGCUUUUUUGCAUCCCGUACUAGUUUAUUAUACACUUAUUUUUGUGUUUGUUAUAUUGUUAGUUUGUUUUGUGUACCAUACUAGUUUAUAUGUGUUUACUUUUUAUAUUUGUUAUACUGUUAUUGGUCCUAAGCCGGGGGUCUAUUGGAAACAGCCUCUCUACUUCUCUCGAGGUAGUGGUAUGGUCUGCGUACACUCUACCCUCCCCAGACCCACUAGGUGGGAAUACACUGGGU
rnacentral:lncRNA from 1 species